rnacentral:rRNA from 1 species
CACGUAGGGCGCGAGCGUUGUCCGGAAUUAUUGGGCGUAAAGAGCUCGUAGGCGGCCUGUUGCGUCCGCUGUGAAAGCCCGGGGCUUAACCCCGGGUCGCAGUGGAUACGGGCAGGCUAGAGGUAGGUAGGGGAGAAUGGAAUUCCCGGUGUAGCGGUGAAAUGCGCAGAUAUCGGGAGGAACACCGGUGGCGAAGGCGGUCUCUGGGCCUUACCUGACGCUGAGGAGCGAAAGCGUGGGGAGCGAACAGG